rnacentral:rRNA from 1 species
GACGAACGCUGGCGGCGUGCUUAACACAUGCAAGUCGAACGGAAGGGCCCUGCUUUUGUGGGGUGCUCGAGUGGCGAACGGGUGAGUAACACGUGAGUAACCUGCCCUUGACUGUCGGAUAACUUCAGGAAACUGGGGCUAAUACCGGAUAGGAGCUCCUGCUGCAUGGUGUGGGAUGGAAAGUUUCGGCGGUUGGGGAUGGACUCGCGGCUUAUCAGCUUGAUGGUGGGGUAGUGACUUACGAAGGCUAAGACGGGUAGCCGGCAUGAGAGGGUGACCGGCCACAUUGGGACUGAGAGACGGACCAGACUCCUACGGGAGGCAGAAGGCGGAAACAUUGCGCAAUGGGCGGAAGCGUGAUGCAGCAACGCCGGGUGCGGGAUGACGGCCUUCGGGGUGUAAACCGCUUUCGCCUGAGACGAAGCGUGAGUGACGGUAAUGGGUAAAGAAGCACCGGCUAACUACGUG